rnacentral:rRNA from 1 species
UACGGGGGGAGCAAGCGUUAUCCGGAUUCACUGGGUUUAAAGGGAGCGUAGGCGGGCUUGUAAGUCAGUGGUGAAAUCUCCGGGCUUAACUCGGAAACUGCCAUUGAUACUAUAAGUCUUGAAUUAUCUGGAGGUAAGCGGAAUAUGUCAUGUAGCGGUGAAAUGCUUAGAUAUGACAUAGAACACCCAUUGCGAAGGCAGCUUACUACGGGUAUAUUGACGCUGAGGCUCGAAAGCGUGGGGAUCAAACAGG